rnacentral:snRNA from 1 species
GUGCUCGCUUCAGCAGCCCAUAUACUAAAAUUGAAACGAUACAGAGAAGAUUAGCAUGGCCCCUGCUCAAGGAUGACACGCAAAUUCAUGAAGCAUUCCAUAUUUUU